GACAGAGGAUGCAAGCGUUAUCCGGAAUGAUUGGGCGUAAAGCGUCUGUAGGUGGCUUUUUAAGUCCGCCGUCAAAUCCCAGGGCUCAACCCUGGACAGGCGGUGGAAACUACCAAGCUGGAGUACGGUAGGGGUAGAGGGAAUUUCCAGUGGAGCGGUGAAAUGCGUAGAUCUUGGAAAGACCACCAAUGGCGAAGGCACUCUACUGGGCCAUGACUGACACUAAGAGACGAAAGCUAGGGGAGCAAAUGGG
rnacentral:rRNA from 1 species